UACGUAGGGGGCAAGCGUUGUCCGGAUUUAUUGGGCGUAAAGCGCGCGUAGGCGGCAAGGUAUGUCGUGCGUGAAAUCUCCCGGCUUAACUGGGAGGGGCCGUGCGAAACUGCCUGGCUUGAGGUCGGAAGGGGAAAGUGGAAUUCCGGGUGUAGUGGUGGAAUACGUAGAUAUCCGGAGGAACACCAGCGGCGAAGGCGGCUUUCUGGUCCCGAUUCUGACGCUGA
rnacentral:rRNA from 1 species